UUUUUAUAAUAAAAUUAUUUAUAAAGUUUUUUAAAUAUAUAAUUAAAUCAAUUUAAUUAUUUUGUUGGGGCGAUAGAAAAAUUUAUAGAACUUUUUUUGAAAAUUUUAAUUUAAAUUAAAAUUUUAUUUUAUAAAAAAUUAUUAUUAAUAGUUAAAAGAUUAAAA
rnacentral:rRNA from 1 species